GUAACCGGUGGAGAUGCUUGUGUUGGCUCUUAUGCUACCUUCUUCUUUUGUUCUUCAGCCUCCAAAGACUUUACAGACUUCCUUCUCUGCGGCAACCUCAUUUUGGAGGCUAUUGUCCCAAGGAGAGGAGGAAAAUCGGUCAAGAGGGUAGAGAGGGAUGAGAGAUGAACAAAAAUAUAGAGGAGAAGAGGGUUUCAGGUUGAUUGUCAUAAAUUUUGUAAGUUAGAGCUUGAGAUUAUGAUGGAGAGCAAGAGGGUAUGUCGAGAGAGAGAGUUUGCUCUAGGGUUUAAGAUGGAGAUCCAAGAUUUUGGGCGGUUAAUGGGAUGGAUUUGAGGGAUUAUGGCCGGUGGAGAGUUUGGAGAAGGAUUUCGAUAUGGGACG
rnacentral:lncRNA from 1 species